AGAGUUUGAUCCUGGCUCAGGAUGAACGCUGGCGGCGUGCCUAAUACAUGCAAGUCGAACGGGGAGUUUGUACUUCGGUGUAGACUCCAAGUGGCGAACGGGUGAGUAACGCGUUGGUGACCUGCCCCGGAGGGCGGGAUAACAGUUCGAAAGGGCUGCUAAUACCGCAUGAGGUCAUGGAGGUUAGAGGCUUUAUGACGAAAGGAGCAAUCCGCUUCGGGAGGGGCCUGCGUCCCAUCAGCUAGUUGGUAAGGUAAAAGCCUACCAAGGCGAAGACGGGUAGGGGGCCUGAGAGGGUGACCCCCCACACUGGCACUGAAACACGGGCCAGACACCUACGGGUGGCAGCAGUAGGGAAUAUUGCACAAUGGGCGAAAGCCUGAUGCAGCAACGCCGCGUGCACGAUGAAGGCCUUCGGGUUGUAAAGUGCUUUUCGGGGAGAUGAGGAAGGACAGUAUCCCCGGAAUAAGGAUCGGCUAACUACGUGCCAGCAGCCGCGGUAACACGUAGGAUCCGAGCGUUAUCCGAAUUCACUGGGCGUAAAGCGCGUGCAGGCGGCCUGGUAAGUUGGAUGUGAAAUCUCCCGGCUCAACUGGGAGAGGACGUUCAAUACUGUCGGGCUAGAGGGCAGUAGAGGGAGGUGGAAUUCCCGGUGUAGUGGUGAAAUGCGUAGAUAUCGGGAGGAACACCAGUGGCGAAGGCGGCCUCCUGGGCUGCACCUGACGCUCAGACGCGAAAGCUAGGGGAGCGAACGGGAUUAGAAACCCCGGUAGUCCUAGCUGUAAACGAUGUAGACUUGGUGUUGGUGGGGUAAAAGCCAUCAGUGCCGAAGCAAACGCGAUAAGUCUACCGCCUGGGGACUACGACCGCAAGGUU
rnacentral:rRNA from 1 species